GAGUUUGAUCAUGGCUCAGAUUGAACGCUGGCGGUAUGCUUAAGACAUGCAAGUCGUGCGGUAGAAGGCUUCGGCCUUUGAGAGCGGCGGACGGGUGAGUAACACGUGGGAAUCUGCCUAUUAGUGGGGGACAGCCCAGCGAAAGCUGGAUUAAUACCGCAUACGCCCUACGGGGGAAAGCAGCAAUGCGCUAAUAGAUGAGCCCGCGUAAGAUUAGCUAGUUGGUAAGGUAAAGGCUUACCAAGGCGACGAUCUUUAGCUGGUCUGAGAGGAUGGCCAGCCACAUCGGGACUGAGACACGGCCCGGACUCCUACGGGAGGCAGCAGUCGGGAAUAUUGGACAAUGGGCGCAAGCCUGAUCCAGCAAUACCGCGUGUGUGAAGAAGGCCUGCGGGUUGUAAAGCACUUUCAGUUGGGAAGAUAAUGACGUUACCAACAGAAGAAGCACCGGGCUAACUCCGUGCCAGCAGCCGCGGUAAUACGGAGGGUGCAAGCGUUAAUCGGAAUUACUGGGCGUAAAGCGUGCGUAGGCGGCCUGUUAAGUCAGAUGUGAAAGCCCCGGGCUUAACCUGGGAACUGCAUCUGAUACUGGGAGGCUAGAAUGUGGGAGAGGAGAGUGGAAUUUCCGGUGUAGCGGUGAAAUGCAUAGAGAUCGGAAGGAACACCAGUGGCGAAGGCAAUUUUCUGGAACAGUACUGACGCUCAGAUGCGAAAGCGUGGGUAGCAAACAGGAUUAGAUACCCUGGUAGUCCACGCCCUAAACGAUGAAUGUUAGUCGUCGGCCUCACUCGUCCUUUCGGUGAUGCAGCUAACGCAUUAAACAUUCCGCCUGGGGAGUACGGUCGCAAGAUUAAAACUCAAAGGAAUAGACGGGGACCCGCACAAGUGGUGGAGCAUGUGGUUUAAUUCGAAGAUACGCGAAGAACCUUACCUAGCCUUGACAUUGAUAGAAUCCGAUGGAAACAUUGGAGUGCCAGUUUACUGGAGCUUGAAAACAGGUGCUGCACGGCUGUCGUCAGCUCGUGUCGUGAGAUGUUGGGUUAAGUCCCGCAACGAGCGCAACCCUCGUCCUUAGUUACUAACGGUUCGGCCGAGGACUCUAAGGAGACUGCCUUCGUAAGGAGGAGGAAGGUGAGGACGACGUCAAGUCAUCAUGGCCCUUACGGCUAGGGCGACACACGUGCUACAAUGGAUAGGACAAUGAGACGCAAUACCGCGAGGUGGAGCAAAUCUAUAAACCUAUUCUCAGUUCGGAUUGUAGUCUGCAACUCGACUACAUGAAGCUGGAAUCACUAGUAAUCGUAGAUCAGCCAUGCUACGGUGAAUACGUUCCCGGGUCUUGUACUCACCGCCCGUCACACCAUGGGAGUUGAUUUCACCCGAAGCGGGGAAGCUAAACUGGCUACCCACCACGGUGGAAUCAGCGACUGGGGUGAAGUCGUAACAAGGUAACC
rnacentral:rRNA from 1 species